AAGCUUUGGAAAGGGUACUAGAGAUUUACCAGGAUGCUGCCUGGAUUAGAAACAAUUAACUCGAACAACUACGAUGCUUUGCACCUCACAGCCGUUCUCGUCUCGUCUCGUCUCGUCUCGUCUCGUCCUACCCCGCCCUGUACCUGAUCAGCAAGAGGACGGGUGGAGCUCGGCUUGUUGUGGUUAGUAGAUAUGUCAAUCAUAUCCAGACUGGUGAAGGAGUUAUUUCCAUUAGGCGAUAUUCUAAAAGAACAAUGCAAACGAAAACACCAUAAUAAAUGCAACAUAAAGGGAAAAAAAGGCAUGAACUUUAUUCUCGCUUGAGUCUCCAGAAGCAGAAAACUAGAAAUUACUGCACUGUUAACCUGUCGGAUAAUUUCAGAUCAGCCUGCACAACCUGGCUAAUAAAAUGGCUUCCUUGUUCCUACUCCACCACGCCUUGGAAUAUCCAUCUGGAGAAUACUUACCUGAUCAGCAUUUUUGCCUACACAAUGCAGUGGUGGCUUUGCAAGUGAAUGCUUCCAACUACUCAGUGAAGUUUAUCCUUUUCUUAGAGGCUGGCAAAACUUCAAUGAAGUCAACUUCAUGCAUGUCAAUGGCCCUUCCACCCUUUGGGUGUGUUCCAAUUAUUUCUUCCUCCUGUGAUGAUCUGGACUAUUAACUGCACACACCAGUCUGUUUUAGUCAAAGUUAGCAAAAGUACUCGUUUUAAUUUGCAGUCCAUAUCUAAAGAAAUACUAAACUGUAAUUAGAUUAAAAAAAUGAUUUUUUAAAAGAACUCAGUUGAUUCCAG